GAUGAACGCUGGCGGCGUGCUUAACACAUGCAAGUCGAACGGUGAACGAGGGAGCUUGCUCCCUCCGGAUCAGUGGCGAACGGGUGAGUAACACGUGAGCAAUCUGCCCUGGACUCUGGGAUAAGCGUUGGAAACGACGUCUAAUACCGGAUACGAGGCGUGGGGGCAUCCCCAACGCCUGGAAAGAACUUCGGUCCAGGAUGAGCUCGCGGCCUAUCAGCUAGUUGGUGAGGUAACGGCUCACCAAGGCGAAGACCGGUAGCCGGCCUGAGAGGGUGACCGGCCACACUGGGACUGAGACACGGCCCAGACUCCUACGGGAGGCAGCAGUGGGGAAUAUUGCACAAUGGGCGCAAGCCUGAUGCAGCAACGCCGCGUGAGGGACGACGGCCUUCGGGUUGUAGACCUCUUUUAGCAGGGAAGAAGCGAAAGUGACGGUACCUGCAGAAAAAGCACCGGCUAACUACGUGCCAGCCGCCGCCGUAAGAC
rnacentral:rRNA from 1 species